rnacentral:rRNA from 1 species
GACGAACGCUGGCGGCGUGCUUAACACAUGCAAGUCGAACGGAAAGGCCCUGCUUUUGUGGGGUGCUCGAGUGGCGAACGGGUGAGUAACACGUGAGUAACCUGCCCUUGACUUUGGGAUAACUUCAGGAAACUGGGGCUAAUACCGGAUAGGAGCUCCUGCUGCAUGGUGGGGGUUGGAAAGUUUCGGCGGUUGGGGAUGGACUCGCGGCUUAUCAGCUUGUUGGUGGGGUAGUGGCUUACCAAGGCUUUGACGGGUAGCCGGCCUGAGAGGGUGACCGGCCACAUUGGGACUGAGAUACGGCCCAGACUCCUACGGGAGGCAGCAGUGGGGAAUAUUGCACAAUGGGCGGAAGCCUGAUGCAGCAACGCCGCGUGCGGGAUGACGGCCUUCGGGUUGUAAACCGCUUUCGCCUGUGACGAAGCGUGAGUGACGGUAAUGGGUAAAGAAGCACCGGCUAACUACGUGCCAGCAGCCGCGGUGAUACGUAGGGUGCGAGCGUUGUCCGGAUUUAUUGGGCGUAAAGGGCUCGUAGGUGGUUGAUCGCGUCGGAAGUGUAAUCUUGGGGCUUAACCCUGAGCGUGCUUUCGAUACGGGUUGACUUGAGGAAGGUAGGGGAGAAUGGAAUUCCUGGUGGAGCGGUGGAAUGCGCAGAUAUCAGGAGGAACACCAGUGGCGAAGGCGGUUCUCUGGGCCUUCCCUGACGCUGAGGAGCGAAAGCGUGGGGAGCGAACAGGCUUAGAUACCCUGGUAGUCCACGCUGUAAACGGUGGGUACUAGGUGUGGGGUCCAUUCCACGGGUUCCGUGCCGUAGCUAACGCUUUAAGUACCCCGCCUGGGGAGUACGGCCGCAAGGCUAAAACUCAAAGGAAUUGACGGGGCCCCGCACAAGCGGCGGAGCAUGCGGAUUAAUUCGAUGCAACGCGUAGAACCUUACCUGGGUUUGACAUGGAUCGGGAGCGCUCAGAGAUGGGUGUGCCUCUUUUGGGGUCGGUUCACAGGUGGUGCAUGGCUGUCGUCAGCUCGUGUCGUGAGAUGUUGGGUUAAGUCCCGCAACGAGCGCAACCCUUGUUCACUGUUGCCAGCACGUUAUGGUGGGGACUCAGUGGAGACCGCCGGGGUCAACUCGGAGGAAGGUGGGGAUGACGUCAAGUCAUCAUGCCCCUUAUGUCCAGGGCUUCACGCAUGCUACAAUGGCUGGUACAGAGAGUGGCGAGCCUGUGAGGGUGAGCGAAUCUCGGAAAGCCGGUCUCAGUUCGGAUUGGGGUCUGCAACUCGACCUCAUGAAGUCGGAGUCGCUAGUAAUCGCAGAUCAGCAACGCUGCGGUGAAAACGUUCCCGGGGCU